GCUCCCUUAAACAAGGAAAUGCGACCAUUCGGUAAAACUGUCAUUUUUUUCCUAGACAAAGGAAACAGAAACUUUCCAAAGCGUAAAAUAAAUUUUAAACACCCCUCGCAUAAAUGUGCGCAAGAGGUUUUAGAGCCAGCAAACGUUAUCGUUUGAUGCUACACUAAGCAAGGCCGACCGUGCACUACUCAAGCGCCAAAGAAACGCAAUAGAAUGCCGGCCGUCUGCUUCGGUCGAAAGCAGACUGGGCAUGGAGGAAAUGAGGUGGGAGUCGCACAUUGCGCUGAUGUAGGCACCGCGGCACUUGAAGUCCGAGCCCCAGAGUGCCAGUUUAUCCUUUGUUUAGAAUACAACGCAUCACAGUGUGAUGUUUAUUCGUGCGCCCUUAUUUAUUCUUUUCUCUCAUUUAAGCCGUGCAGACCAAGCCGUAGCAAUGUCAUUGCAUGGCGAGGUGGUCAGCGCGUCUGUGCUCGGCUGCCCUGGCGUGGUCAGCCUGGAGUCUGGCUGUGUGGAACCAGUACAAAUCAAGCUCACAACAUUCGCCCCUAGCGCAAGCCCCGAGGAUCGGAGGCAGACGUCAUCUCCAUGCAUUUGUGCGCCCUCUACUGUGAUACAGACACGAAGGUCUUCACGCUCACAGGACAUAUACUGCACUGGUGGGGAGUCGCCGAUCACUGCCACGUGAAUGACGAGAGAGCAGGAGGGUUUAUGCCCAGUCCAAGUAAACAGAACGCCGAGUGGAUGUCCGUGAUGAGGACUUCAGUGACGUUUCGGCAGUCCUGCUUAUUCCCCUUUUUUCCCACAAGAUGGCGACGUCUCUUCCCAAAGGUUGCGUUAAGAGGACGCAAUCAAAUCACGUGGACUUGCGCACCGAGGUUUCGUUAGCUGGAGCAACAAAUUUUUUUAUUACGGUGCAUAAAUUAUGCCUCCCUACGUGGGCGUUUUCAAGAGCCAUUCCUAGGAUUUACUCCGGCAAUUUUCAACAAAGAAGUGCUUUUAUUAAAGACACGACAAUGCGCCUGUGAGCGCAGACAUAAAUAGCACAAAUAAAUGACAC